rnacentral:rRNA from 1 species
UGGGGAAUCUUGGACAAUGGGGGCAACCCUGAUCCAGCGACGCCGCGUGGGUGGUAAGGCCUUCGGGUUGUAAAGCCCUUUCGCCGGGGACGAUGAUGACGGUACCCGGAGAAGAAGCGCCGGCUAACUCCGUGCCAGCAGCCGCGGUAAGACGGAGGGCGCUAGCGUUGUUCGGAAUCACUGGGCGUAAAGGGCGCGUAGGCGGCGAUCUAAGUCGGGGGUGAAAGCCCGGGGCUCAACCUCGGAACGGCCUUCGAGACUGGGUUGCUGGAGACCGGAAGAGGAGGGUGGAAUACCCAGUGUAGAGGUGAAAUUCGUAGAUAUUGGGUGGAACACCAGUGGCGAAAGCGGCUCUCUGGUCCGGUUCUGACGCUGAGGCGCGAAAGCGUGGGGAGCAAACAGGAUUAGAUACCCCCGUAGUCC